UGGAGCUUCCUGUGCAUCAGUUUCUGUCCGUUUCCUCUUGUCAUUUCAUAUGAAAUAUGAAGGAUCUCCUAAAACUCACUGUAACUGUGGGUCAUCAUUGAUUUUAAGUUCUCAUGCAUUCACGCAGACUGCUUUUGGAGCAAGCAUGCCAGCGCUGCCGCGGCACCUGCGUGGGGGGAAAGCGCAGGCAGGAAGUUACAGUAUGCAUUCACCGUGUGUGUGUGUGUGUGUGUCUGUGUGUGUGUGUCUGUGUGUGUGUUUGUUUCUCUGUGUCUGUGUUUCUGUGUCUGUGUUUCUCUGUGUGUCUGUUUCUGUGUGUCUGUUUCUCUCUGUCUGUGCGUCUCUGUGUCUGCAUGUCUGUGUGUCUGUGUUUCUCUGUGUCUGUGUUUCUCUGUGUCUGUGUUUCUCUGUCUGUGUUUCUGUGUCUGUGUUUCUGUGUCUGUGUUUCUCUGUGUGUCUGUUUCUGUGUGUCUGUUUCUCUCUGUGUCUGUGCGUCUCUCUGUGUCUGCAUCUCUGUGUGUGUGUCUGUGUGUGUGUGUGUCUCUGUGUGUCUGUGUUUCGCUGUGUGUCUGUUUCUCUGUGUCUGUGUGUGUCUCUGUGUCUCUGUGUGUCUGUUUGUGUGUCUGUGUUUCUCUGUGUGUCUGUCUCUCUGUGUCUCUCUGUGUGUCUGUGUUUCUCUGUGUGUCUACGUUUCUCUGUCUCUGUGUCUGUGUUUCUCUGUGUCUGUGUUUGUGUUUCUCUCUGUGUCUGUGUGUCUGUGUCUCUCUGUGUGUCUGUGUGUCUCUCUGCGUGUCUGUGUUUCUCUGUGUGUCUGUGUUUCUCUGUCUGUGUGUCUAUGUUUCUCUGUGUGUGUGUCUGUGUUUCUCUCUGUGUGUCUCUCUCUGUGUGUCUGUGUUUCUCUGUCUGUGUGUCUCAGUGUCUGUGUGUCUAUGUUUCUCUGUCUGGGGCCGCUGGUGCGCGCCGCCGCCGCCGGGGCUCGCUGCGCGGGGCGCGCCCCGUGGGCACCGCGGGCGCCCGGCCC
rnacentral:lncRNA from 1 species